UCCGUAGGUGAACCUGCGGAGGGAUCAUUACUGAGUUUACGCUCUAUAACCCUUUGUGAACAUACCUAUAACUGUUGCUUCGGCGGGUAGGGUCUCCGCGACCCUCCCGGCCUCCCGCCUCCGGGCGGGUCGGCGCCCGCCGGAGGAUAACCAAACUCUGAUUUAACGACGUUUCUUCUGAGUGGUACAAGCAAAUAAUCAAAACUUUUAACAACGGAUCUCUUGGUUCUGGCAUCGAUGAAGAACGCAGCGAAAUGCGAUAAGUAAUGUGAAUUGCAGAAUUCAGUGAAUCAUCGAAUCUUUGAACGCACAUUGCGCCCGCCAGCAUUCUGGCGGGCAUGCCUGUUCGAGCGUCAUUUCAACCCUCAAGCUCUGCUUGGUGUUGGGGCCCUACAGCUGAUGUAGGCCCUCAAAGGUAGUGGCGGACCCUCCCGGAGCCUCCUUUGCGUAGUAACUUUACGUCUCGCACUGGGAUCCGGAGGGACUCUUGCCGUAAAACCCCCCAAUUUUCCAAAGGUUGACCUCGGAUCAGGUAGGAAUACCCGCUGAACUUAAGCAUAUCAAUAAGCGG
rnacentral:rRNA from 1 species